CCCUUAGAUGUUCUGGGCCGCACGCGCGCUACACUGAUGCAUUCAACGAGUCUAAAACCUGCUCUGAUAGGGGUGGGUAAUCUUUUGAAUGUGCAUCGUGAUUGGGAUAGAUGAUUGCAAUUUUUCAUCUUCAACGAGGAAUGCCUAGUAAACGCAAGUCAUCAGCUUGCAUUGAUUACGUCCCUGCCCUUUGUACACACCGCCCGUCGCUCCUACCGAUUGAAUGAUCCGAUGAAUAUCAUGGAUUGAGGAUGCAAGUAGGUUAGCCUAUCUUCAUCUUCGAGAAGUGAAGUAAAUCUUAUCAUUUAGAGGAGGGAGAAGUCGUAACA
rnacentral:rRNA from 1 species